rnacentral:piRNA from 1 species
UGAAAACUGUACUGGAGACGAGCUACUGUUU